GUCUACGGCCAUACCACCCUGAACGCAUCCAAUCUUGUCUGAUCUUGGAAGCUAAGCAGGGUUGGGCCUGGUUAGUACUUGGAUGGGAGAAAGACCCAGAAAAAUCAAGCAAGCAUGGUCC
ensembl:rRNA 5S_rRNA 5S ribosomal RNA